ACCAGGGCACAAACCCGUGUCCCCUGCAUCGGCAGGCGGACUCUCAACCACUGCGUCAACAGGGAAGCCCAGUUAUCACUUGUUUUAACUAUAUUUUCAUUUGAUCUGUAGUGUCCCUCACUCUAAACUUUUGUGAUUGCAUGUCCUCUAUAAUGGCAUCUUUUACCAUUUUUCUUUGACUCAUAUGUUUUCUGAAACCUGGUAGUUAGUUAGAUUAGGGACUAGAAGGAUUUCUGGUUCAUGUUGUGGCAAGAAUAGUUCAUGGAUGAUAUUUGUAUUUCCUAGUACAACACAUCAAAAGUCAUACUCUGUCACUGUUUUUGAGAUGUUAAAAGUGAUCAGUAGGUUAAGGUUUUGUCAGCCUGGUACAUUCAUAAUAAUGGUCUCCACCUAUGAUUCAAUUAGUAGUUUUAGCUAUUGCUGAUGAUUGUAAACUAAAUCUACUAUUUAUUAAGGGUUGCAAAAUGGUUAUAUGCUAAUUUUACACUAUUUUUUCAUUUAUUUGCUGGGAUACAUCUAUAAAUACUAAUUUUCUCUCAUUAUCUAAGCUGUUAAUGUGGAGGUGAAUUUGUACAGGAAAUACAGGAUAACUGGGAAAUCUUUUCCUUUAUUUACAGAUUUUUAGAAGAAUGUCUUUGUUUUCUAGCAUCCUACAAGUUGAACCACUUCAGAUUGAAUCCAGAGUUUUGAUGACAUGACCUAAAUGCUUCCACCCUUUCUGGCUUGUGUCCACGAGUGAGAGAAGGUGUGAGACAUAUGGCUGUCCUAACAAGAGAGUUUUCUUCCACAGUUUCAUGUCAGACUGCCCAUUUCACUCUGCAGCCUCUAUUAGACUGCCCCCUGCAUUGCAUAGAAAUGGCCUAAAAUUCUAAACUGACAGAACCUUUAAAUGGCCAGAGUGGUAUAUAUGGGUAAUACUUAAGAAGAUUUAGCAAUGAAAUCAUCUCCCAGAAAGGAAUUUUUUCCAUGUAUGAGUACGCUGCACAAAAGAGAACUAUAAAGUCAACUGCAAAGAGAGAUAAUUCUCUUGUGUAGAGGGACACGGCAUUUAAGUUAUCUGUAAGCAUCUAUCAAGGAAGUGAGAUUCUGUAGGCUGAACAGUGAAACUGGUACUCACUGGGGCCAGUCCAUACGUUUUGAAAAUCAGCUUUAUGAUCUGUGCAAGGCAGAUUAAAAACAGUCAUCUUAAAAUUGAAUCCAAUAAAUUCUAUUCCAGAAAUUCAAAGAGGGAAUAAUCUGAAAUGCAGCCAAUGAGGAAUUAUGUAUAAUAGCAAAAUUUUCAAACAAAUCGCUAAUAAAGGGAGAAUGGCUAGGUAAAUUAUGGAUGUUUGAUCAUAACAUUUUUCUAAAAUGUCAUGUUCUAAAUAAUUUGUAUGUAAUAUGAUUUCUAUAUUAUUCAUUUAUAUAGAAUUUUUUUAAAAAAUAAAUGAAUUAAAAUGAUUAAAGCAGAUCCUCCUGGAAAAAAAUAUGAUGGAGAAUUUUCAGAAUCAAACAAUAAAGACAGAUAAAAGUUCAUAAAAAUCAUUUGCAAAUACCGUAUGCUAACACAUAUAUAUGGAAUCUAAGAAAAAAAAAUGUCAUGAA